CAGCAUAAUAUUGCAUGAUGGGACAUUUUUUUAAAAAAUCUGUGAUUUAGGGGAGUACAAGGAGUUAUAAAACCGGGUUAUCAAAUCUUGUUGAUCUAUGAUUUGCUUUUUUAUGUGGAGUUUACUAUUUUCUUUCACUCAAUUUAACUGUGCCAUGAAUAAAUUGUCAUUCAUUGUUCUGUAUUUGAUAAACAUCUUUCAUUAGAGAUUCUUUUAUAUUUUGCAAUAUUUGUAUAUGAGGGAGCAAUAAAGGCAUUAGACCUAG
rnacentral:misc_RNA from 1 species